CAGUUGUCCUUGAAAAAGUUUCCCAGCCGCUCUGACUUGCCUUUCUUUUUGUUAUAUAUUUUCUACAUCCCACUUGAGAUUUCUAUCAAAUCCUGCAAGGCUAUUUUGCAGAUAUUUGAUACCUUUGUACCUAUUUGUCACAGCAAACGUGAAAGAAGUUCUGGCUUACCAUAAUCUACAAGGGGUUUUGAUUUUUCUCCCAUUUAUACACAGUGGUGAACAGAUAUAUGAAAAUGACUCCAUGGGGCUUUCACUGGGGCCCAAAUAUCCAUGCUUUGUGUGACUCUAAACUGCUAUGUUAAAUGAUGGACCUUUAAACAUGCACCCCCAGGCAAAUGUCAACUAAAUCAUCAUUAUUUCUGGAAUAUGA
rnacentral:lncRNA from 1 species